rnacentral:lncRNA from 1 species
CCCAUAAGUCAGACCUAAAGAGAUAGAACACAUCUAUCGAGCAGAUGUUAGAAUGACCAUCGAUUAAACCCUAAGUAAAAAGAUAUCUAGUUUGGACAACAUCGAUUAAGCUAAGCAAGCCAACACAUGGUUAUACAAUGCCGUGUUGAUCAGUGAUGGUGUUGGCUUCUUCAAUAGCAGUUUUUAGUAGAUCGAUUUGACGUCGUAUGUCGGUGAUUUGAUCUCCUUGUUCUUUAAUGGUUGAUUUAAGUACUUGAAUCCUUGAUUUUGCCUCAUUGAUCUACUUAAGCAAGUCAUUGAUUCCCUCUUUUUUGAUGGUUGUUUUACCGGCUCGUUCCUCCUCAUCUUUUACGCCAUUUUGAAAAGGGGUUAUGGAUGGAUGAGAAGUUUUUG